rnacentral:tRNA from 1 species
UAUUUAGGUAGCUAAGGCAUCUUGAUUUCGACUCAGG